GACGAACGCUGGCGGCGUGCUUAACACAUGCCAGUCGAACGGAAAGGCCCUGCUUUUGUGGGGUGCUCGAGUGGCGAACGGGUGAGUAACACGUGAGUAACCUGCCCUUGACUUUGGGAUAACUUCAGGAAACUGGGGCUAAUACCGGAUAGGAGCUCCUGCUGCAUGGUGGGGGUUGGAAAGUUUCGGCGGUUGGGGAUGGACUCGCGGCUUAUCAGCUUGUUGGUGGGGUAGUGGCUUACCAAGGCUUUGACGGGUAGCCGGCCUGAGAGGGUGACCGGCCACAUUGGGACUGAGAUACGGCCCAGAGUCCUACGGGAGGCAGCAGGGGGGAAUAGUGCACAAUGGGCGGAAGCCUGAUGCAGCAACGCCGCGGGCGGGAUGACGGCCUUCGGGUUGUAAACCGCUUUCGCCUGUGACGAAGCGUGAGUGACGGUAAUGGGUAAAGAAGCACCGGCUAACUACGUG
rnacentral:rRNA from 1 species